rnacentral:rRNA from 1 species
GGGUUAAGUCCCGCAACGAGCGCAACCCCUGUGGUUAGUUGCCAGCAAGUAGCGUUGGGCACUCUAGCCAGACUGCCGGUGAUAAAUCGGAGGAAGGUGGGGACGACGUCAAAUCAUCAUGCCCUUUAUGUCCUGGGCUACACACGUACUACAAUGGCCGUUACAACGGGAAGCGAAGGAGCAAUCCGGAGCAAAUCCCUUAAAGGCGGUCCCAGUUCAGAUUGUGGGCUGAAACUCGCCCACAUGAAGGCGGAAUUGCUAGUAAUUGCAGAUCAGCAUGCUGCAGUGAAUACGUUCCCGGGCCUU